rnacentral:rRNA from 1 species
CCUACGGGGGGCAGCAGUGGGGAAUAUUGGACAAUGGGGGGAACCCUGAUCCAGCCAUGCCGCGUGUGUGAAGAAGGCCCUCGGGUCGUAAAGCACUUUCAGUGAGGAAGAACGCCUGGUGGUUAAUACCCAUCAGGAAAGACAUCACUCACAGAAGAAGCACCGGCUAACUCCGUGCCAGCAGCCGCGGUAAUACGGAGGGUGCGAGCGUUAAUCGGAAUUACUGGGCGUAAAGCGCGCGUAGGUGGCUUGAUAAGCCGGUUGUGAAAGCCCCGGGCUCAACCUGGGAACGGCAUCCGGAACUGUCAAGCUAGAGUGCAGGAGAGGAAGGUAGAAUUCCCGGUGUAGCGGUGAAAUGCGUAGAGAUCGGGAGGAAUACCAGUGGCGAAGGCGGCCUUCUGGACUGACACUGACACUGAGGUGCGAAAGCGUGGGUAGCAAACAGGAUUAGAUACCCUAGUAGUC